UUGGACGCUAGCGGCGGAUGGGUGAGUAACACGUGGGCAAUCUGCCCUAAAGACUGGGAUACCACUUGGAAACAGGUGCUAAUACCGGAUAACAACAUGGAUCGCAUGAUUCAAGUUUGAAAGGCGGCGCAAGCUGUCACUUUAGGAUGAGCCCGCGGCGCAUUAGCUAGUUGGUGGGGUAAAGGCCUACCAAGGCAAUGAUGCGUAGCCGAGUUGAGAGACUGAUCGGCCACAUUGGGACUGAGACACGGCCCAGACUCC
rnacentral:rRNA from 1 species